CCCGGAGUUUCGUAAGGUUUUGAAGGCCUUCGGAAGUGUGGCAUGUAAAUUCAGUAACCCACUGACAGCGUAAAGACGCAAUUUGUUUUCUAAUGUGUAGCUGUCAGUUAUAAACAUCAGUUUAUCGGAAUGUUCGGGUUUUUCCGGUUUCUUCUUAUAAUCGAUUCCGGUAUAGACAGUCCGUUUCGAUACUCAUCUCCAGCGGUUACUUUUUUG
rnacentral:sRNA from 12 species